rnacentral:lncRNA from 10 species
GUGGAGCGUCACACCGGGUUUAAGGCAAGAACAUUUAGACAUCCAGAGGCAGGAGCCCUCCGGAGACGGGUCUGAUUGUCCUGGCGUCAGAGGAGCUAUGGAAAUGCGCGCCAGGCUCUAAAUGACUGGCAGGUGGCAGGCUGUGAUGUGGACAGCCCUGUUUCAUUGUUUUCCAUUUGAGCAGUAAGAGAAAUUCAAGGCGGCACUUGGCCCUCCUCUUCUGACUCACAGUCUUUGAACAAGAGAGUGCAGAUUCCUAAGCCUGAGAAAACAGGGCCUCUGGCUUCUUGGCAGGGAGAGGUUCCAGAGAGUGCAGGGGAGGCCCUGCCUCCUUGGGUGGGGUGACCUGGGCCUCCUGGGACCUCAGUUCCCUGCCUGUGAAAAAGACGGACGGAGGUAGAGAAUCCCAGGGUGCCUUUCCAGGACUAAAGACGGUGCCUUCUUUAUGUAAAUUCCAUCCUUCGCAAGUUCACUGUGGAGCGCUCUCCCGGGGCCCAGUCUCUAGGCGCAGAACACCCAGCCAGGAUGUGCCAUGUUCACCUUGAUAUUUGGGUUUUUGAAGAAAACCUGUAAAAGCUGUAAAACCCGAACCAUGAGGACACCCCAGGGGCACACAGUUCUGGAGGCUGAAAAUCAAGAUCAGGAUGCUGGCGUCUGACAAGGGCUUUCUUGCUGCAUCCUCACGUGGCGGAAAGUGGAAGGGCAAGAGAGAGCGAACCCAUCCUGAAAACCCCAGAUUACAGAGGCACUAAUCCAUUUAUGUGGGUGGAGCUCCCAUGACCCAAACACCUCCAAAGGCCCCACCUCCUGACAAUGUUGCACUGGGGAUUACAUUUCCAACACAUGAAUCUGGGGAGACAGAUUCAGACCACAGCAGAUGUCAAGGCUGGUUCAAAGGACAAUGUGAAGAACAAAGGCAUGCUGAAAUGAAUUUGAUAAUAGAUGCAAACUUGGGUAACAUCCUACAGGACAAUAAGGUGUAAGUAAUACUUGGGAUCAUCUUUCCUUAGACAUGAGCAUCAGUUGCAUCUACAGUGAACAACACUGAUUACAUUGCCAUAGAGGAAGCUUUGUGUUGCUCUCAGAUAAGAAGCAUGCACACUGCUGUAUUCUCUACAUGAACUUCUAUUCUACAGUUGUAAAAUAGUUCAGUCAAUAGAAAGCCAACCACAGAGACACACCUAGUGGUUUGUUUUUGCCUAUUUUUAAGUUUUUAAUAUUUUUUAUAACAGAUAUAACAUUGAAUCCAUAGUGAAGUUAAUCACUUUUUAAUUACCCAUUUUUCUAAUAAUUAAAUCAACAAGGGAGUCUCCUUUGGGUACCAAUCAAUCUCUAACCUUUCUAAACUUCUUGUUUGAAAAAGAGAAAGGCAGAAGUGGGCCUCAAGCAUGACGCCUUCAACUGACUGUACAAGCUAGCUGCAGUUUGAUGAUACUGUUGAAUUUUCUUUAUUAUAUUGUUACCUUUUAUUAAUGGCAAUGGAUAUAUUAGUUUUCCAUUUUUGGUUGAGAUAUGAGGCUUCCUUUAAAACAUAUUUAAGUAAAAAAGAAAAGUGAGUCAAUGUGUUUAAUUAAACAGCCAAAAGUAUUCAAAUGAUGAAUGAUAUAGAUGGGAUGAAUAGAAAGUCAUAGAAAAUUUAUGGUGAUCACUGAAGGUUGAGAAAAACCCAAUCUGAUGAGCACUCUGCUCCAUGUCAGGUCCUGCCUGUUGUGCUUGUCUCCCAGACUGUCUUUUAACUCUCACCUUCUUACAAAUAGUUGAAUCUUAAUAGCUAUUAUUACCUUACAUUUAACAAAAUAGGCAUAUGCAUAUUUUUUCAUUUUCUCCCUCUCCACUAAGGAAAACUUCAGAGAGAGAAAGAAUUUCUCCAGGGUCAAGCAUCCAGCUGAGCAUUCCAGUAGAGAAUGGCAGUGCUGGAAUCCCCCGCUGUUGUCCGGCUUCAAGACUCUUUUGCACUGUCUCCCAGCCCUGCUCCCAUGGGAGUUGUGGAGAAUUCCCAGGGUGAAGAAAGAACCUGGGGAUAGAGCCUCCUUUUUUCAUUUUUUCUUUCUUUUUUUUUUUUUUUUUGCGAUGGUCUUGCUCUGUCACCCAGGCUUGGAGUGCAGUGGUGUGAUCUUGGCUCACUGCAGCCUCAAUCUCCCAGGUUCAAGUGAUCCUUCCUCCUCAGUCUCCAGAGUAGCUGGGACUACAGGUAUGCACCACCAUGCCUGGCUAAUUUUUGUGUUUUUAGUAGAGAUGGGCUUUCAUCAUGUUGGCCAGACUGGUCUCAAACUCCUGACCUCAGGUGAUCCACCUGCCUCAGCCUCCCGAAGUGCUGGGAUUAUAGGCAUGAGCCACUGUGCCCGGCCUCAUUUUUCUUUUCCUUUUUACAGAAAUGGAAAUCACAUGGUAGGUCAUAAGGAGCUGACAGGGCUGGAGUUCCAGUGAGUAUCUGCCCCGGCAGUGCGGCAGCAGACGGGAAGGGUGGGAGGUCAUCUGAGCUGGUAGGGUGAGAACAAAUAUAAAUCUCAGGGGGGAUCCACAAGGGAGCCCAUGUCUUUGGUGCCACACAAAUGCAGUAAGAGCUGUGGACACCAGGGAAUACCAGGGAGUGUUUAAAAGCCCCACAGGCAGAACACACGCAGAGAAAGCAGGAGACUAGGCACUGUGGGUUCUUGGGAAAGAGCUGAUUUUAGUUGCAAAAGCAGAGGAAACCCCAGACAUUGCAUGGCUUUAGGCUUUAGGCUUUAGCCCCACCACCCUCACAAGUCUUCUGUCUCCAGGGGGCCAUCAGUGCCUCAGUUCCACUCGGUGCAGACCCCAGGGUUCUUCCCACCCCUGCAAGCCACCCAUCAGGGUGAACUGAGAGAUCAGCAGAGUCACUUACAACGAAGGGGAAUUGUUCUGGGCAUUGGUUAGUAAACAGGAGAGCAAAAGGGGAGAAGAAAAUUGUGUACAGGCGUUGAGCAUCUCUAGCCGAAGAAGGUGAGGCAUAGAGGUGUCUUACCACCAGGAACAGAUCUGAGUCAUGCAGCACCAAAAUACGUAUUUGAGUCAUGGCAUCAAAACGUUCCUGGUGGUGAAUUCAUGUCCGUGCGGGUCUGCAGCAAUCUCAAUUCUUGCCUCCUCAGAAGAAAGAAUUCGACUGAGGGGCAUGAGGCAGAAAGAGAGAUCGGAGCCAGUUUCAGAACAGGAGUGAAAGUUUAUUAAAAGGCUUUAGAACAUGAAUGAAAGGAAGGAAAGGAUACUUGGAGAAGGACCAAGCAGGCAUCUUGAAAGGCAAGUGCUUUUUUUUUUUUUUUUCAUUUUUUAACCCCUUCCUAAUGUCACUGGAAUAAGAGGCCUGUCCCAGACCCCAAGAGCGGGUUCUUGGAUGUUGGAUGAGGAACAAUUCCAGGUGAGUGGCAGAGUAUAGUAAAGUUAAAAUCGUUUAUCAGAGACCACUCGGUUACAGAGUAGGAUGUCCUCCAAAAGCAAGAGAAGGAACGCGCACACCUUAAAUACGAUUCUUAUUUAUAUAGGUUAACAGAGCUAAGAAGAGAGGUCUUUUGUGCUUUAUUACAGAGGCUGGUGAUCAGCUUCUGACAGGCUAUUAGUAUUAUUUUCCUAUGUUACUACUGAUUUCAGCAAGGAUUUACGAAUGUACUAUUAACCUUAAAUCAAAACCUACUCUUAAACUAAGAAUGCUUUUUGUUCUUAAAAUAUUAAGAGAUUGCCAUAAAAUUCUGCGUCUUUAUUUAGUUAGCAUCAUUAACUUGUUCCCUCAACCAUAAACAUCUUGUGCCCAAGAGUGCCUACCCCCUGGGGGUGUAACCCUGCAGGCAUGGCUAUAUCCCACAUUUAUUAAAG